rnacentral:rRNA from 1 species
GACGAACGCUGGCGGCGUGCUUAACACAUGCAAGUCGAACGGUAAGGCCCUUCGGGGUACACGAGUGGCGAAUGGGUGAGUAACACGUGGGUGAUCUGCCCUGCACUUCGGGAUAAGCCUGGGAAACUGGGUCUAAUACCGGAUAGGACCACUGCCUGCAUGGGUGGUGGUGGAAAGCUUUUGCGGUGUGGGAUGGGCCCGCGGCCUAUCGGCUUGUUGGUGGGGUGAUGGCCUACCAAGGCGACGACGGGUAGCCGGCCUGAGAGGGUGACCGGCUUCACUGGGACUGAGUUACGGCCAAGACUCCUGCGGGAGGCAGCAGUGGGGAAUAUUGCACAAUGGGCGCGAGCCUGAUGCAGCGACGCCGCGUGAGGGAUGACGGCCUUCGGGUUGUAAACCUCUUUCAGCUGGGAAGAUAAUGACUGAACCAGCAGAAGAAGCCCCGGCUAACUCCCUGCCAGCCGCCGCCGUAA